rnacentral:snRNA from 1 species
GGAUGUACCAGAGCUCUGGCUGAGACAUCUCUCACCACACUGAUAGCCAGGGCUGAUUUGGUUGCUCCUGCUGGCUGGGCAGGUGUCUCCUUCCUCCCUCACUGCUUCACACUGUAUCCCUCCUUAGCUAUGUGCUCGUGGAAGAGGAUGACCACCCCCAUAGAAGAGGACCUUUCCUCGGUCAAGGGUAUAGGAACAGUUGUGCUUCCCUGCUGGAACCUCCAAACAAGCUCUAAAAUUCCCAUGCACCCACAUCCCAACUCAAUCAAAUCAAUGCUGGGGUGACAACCAUAUCAUUUCCCCCCCCAU